GAGAUGUCCGAGAAGUAGAGGCGAAGAUUGUAAAAACAAUGGAGAAAAAUCUUCAAGAGAUUCAAGAGAAUUUAAAUUCCAUUCAGGAGGACCUAUCAAAAUUACAGGGACAGAUAGACCACAAGGACGGUGUGAUAUUUCUGAAGGGUUAUUGAUGAAACCAAACCAAUGUUGGUGGUAGAUAGCGCGUUGCCCAUUGAAAAGUAUGAUCGCACCCUUUUCUACAACAUAGCAUUGAGCAAAACAUCUGACAUCAUCAAACGAGUCUCCGUCACCCUGGAUGUGGAAACAGCG